UGAGGAAUAUUGGACAAUGGGCGCAAGCCUGAUCCAGCAAUGCCGCGUGCAGGAUGAAGGCCUUCGGGUUGUAAACUGCUUUUGUACGGAGCGAAAAGGUCUGCCCUAAUACGGUGGGCUCAUGACGGUACCGUAAGAAUAAGCACCGGCUAACUACGUGCCAGCAGCCGCGGUAAUACGUAGGGUGCGAGCGUUAAUCGGAAUUACUGGGCGUAAAGCGUGCGCAGGCGGUUAUAUAAGACAGAUGUGAAAUCCCCGGGCUCAACCUGGGACCUGCAUUUGUGACUGUAUAGCUAGAGUACGGUAGAGGGGGAUGGAAUUCCGCGUGUAGCAGUGAAAUGCGUAGAUAUGCGGAGGAACAACGAUGGCGAAGGCAAUCCCCUGGACCUGUACUGACGCUCAUGCACGAAAGCGUGGGGAGCAAACA
rnacentral:rRNA from 1 species